rnacentral:lncRNA from 1 species
AUCUGGGGUGUUGAGGUUCAUGGUUUAUUGAAAAGCAACUGGAAAUCAUUUUGUAUGCAAGUGUGACAUGUGUGGAGAAGAACCUCCUAGCUAGCCUUCCAUCCAUUCAAUUUAACCAAAUUCGUCCAAAAAUCUGUUUAGUUUACAACUUGUUUGUUUUGUUUUCAAAUUCGUCAAAAUCAAUCCCCCCGCCCUUACUUUGUUGAGGCAUAUUAGUUAGAAAGUGAUUUUGUUUGUGUUUUUAAGUGUUUUGAACCAAGUUACAACCUAUUUUCGUCCAAAUUCUUUAUUAGUGGCAGAUUUGAGUCUUUUAGCUUGUUUUGAGCUGUUUUGAGUCUUUUGAGUUGUUUUAGUGUUUUAUAGUUUAGUUUUGCAUUCUUUGAGUCUAGUUUAGUGUUUUAAACUUUGUUUUACGUUUUUGAGUCAGUUUCAAGUGUUUUAGCAAUCCCUCCUAAUCCCCGGCCUAGAACGAUCCCUACUUACAUUCUUUACUACAAUUGAUAAAAAGAGGGUUUAAUUUGUGUUCUUAUAUAUUUUGCAUCACAUUCAUCCAGACAACUAAGUUUCCCACAUUCCUACCUAAUCACGUGUUUAAUUGAAUCAGUCACAUGUAUUAAGAAACAUGAUUUAAUUAACUCAUAUAUGAGGACAAUAUCAAUAAGAUUAUCCAUAAGUAAAACAUACACCAAACUUGAAUUCAAGAAGAUAUAAAAAUGUUCACAAAGUAAAUCAAAGUUACUAGGGUGGAUUCGGCCAACAAGGCCAUCCAUGUCAAAAUUCUACUCUUCCAAGGAUGUUUCGUGGAGGAAAAUUAGUCUCACAUAUUGACUAGUACUCGUUAACAACAUUGGUAGGGGCACAAACAGGUGCAUAACCAAUGAUCUAUUCCAUCAAGACGGAAGUAGUUUCUGCAAGGUUUGCAAGGUUGAGGUUUGGAAAUAUUAUCCCAUAUUCUUGAAGUUUUAGGUCUUAGGUGCCAAGGAUCAUGCUCCGAGCAUGAUGCCACACCUUGGCAGGCCCUAGUUCUACCAUAUGUUUGUGGUAGUAAUCAGAUCCGAGAAUUUGGUAAACUUCCGCUUUCUACACUUGUUGCUUCAGGAGCGAGUUAGAAACAAGGAAGGAUGAGAAAAGUAUUCUUGAGUCAAAAUUUGAUGGAUUUAUAAACUUCAGAAUUGUACUCAUUCAUGGACGUAAUCAUGGUGUGCUUCAGGCAAUGUCUUUCAUGAUUAGACAAUCUGUAUGAGCGAGCCAAAGAGCCAUGGAAUCCUCGUUCGGGAGGUAUUUCCAUUUGUAAUGCUUGAGGCUUAAGUUUUUUAAUGAAGAUCAUGGCGGAGGCUUAUUCAGCUCUUCCUUGCCAUUGUUGGCUUCAACAGUUUCUCAACUUCUUAAUAGUCACGUGGAGAUUCACGUCUUGUACCCCACAUAAAGUGGUUUCUAAUAGAAACGUCCAAAUCAGGAAAAUCAAACUUGUGAUGGUUCGACAAUCCACUGAAUUGGAUGGAACAAGAUUGUGAUUAAUGCUAUGGGAAGGAAUCAUCCAUAAGCAUCAAAGUUAGAAUAUUUGAGUUCUAAGACAUGGUUUUCAUGAAACAACUUCAAGUUUUCAUGGGUGUAUUGUUUUAUGAAAACUUUGGGUUUCAAAGGCACUAAAUUUGAAACUACAAGUUCAAUUUAGUUUAUGAACGUUUAGUUCAUAAAAGAGAGGUUCCUGCAAGAACACAUAAUGCAAUAUGCUGAUUUAAGUCUAGUGGAUUUGAGGUUCUUCGAGAACUCAAGUGUGAGAGCUUCAUUACUUCGAAAGCAUGUCAUGGUUCAAAGUAUAAAAAUAAAUUAUUGAAUCAUUAAUGUCCAAAAGUGAUUUCAGUUCAAUAAUUUUGGAUUCAUUAUCAUAUUAAUGGACUGCAUGUCAUUUUUAAUUAAUUCAAUAAAUCGAGCCAUACAGGGUUGAU